rnacentral:lncRNA from 1 species
GCUUGAGGAGAGGCAAGCUCAAUUAAGCAGUGUGUGUGCAAUUUCAGGGAAAUGGGGUCUGCUUCUUAGAAUCUACAAGAAUGCAAGGCCUCUUGAGCAAAACAAUUUCCCAAGGUCAAGCAAUGAGAAGGGAUACCAAGCUGAGCUUAGUCUCCAGAGGCUUCUACAGGAUCACAUGUCUCUUCAGAAAUGCCAUUUUAACUGAUGUGGAAGUUGAUAAAAGUGAUGCCCCAAGAGAUCUUCAGUCAUCAGAUCAACAUUCAUGUUAUGAGCAAAAAGGCUCUCUGACUUUCAUUCAGCCCAAGACCCAGAGUUAAACUGGGUUUAACCAGCUAACUGGUUCCUUGUUGAUCAAAAGGUAACACUUUUGAGAUGGGCAUGUGAUGACUCCGGCAGACAUCCAGUUGUGUUUCAAAAGGACAUGGAUUCUAGGACACCAAGAGAGACGUGUCUAAUAAGUUGUUUUGGUCUCUAAAAGUUAUCUGAGUGGCCAACACACCGGUAGGGACAUGACCCAAUUGCUUGGGCAGGGGCAGAACAAAUUGGAACUAGAGCUGUGCUGGAGACAGGAUUCCAAAGCCAAGUCCAUGAAGCUAUAAGCAAUAAAUGAUUUUCC